rnacentral:tRNA from 1 species
GGGCCUUUAGCUCAGUUGGGAGAGCGCCUGCUUCGCAUGCAGGAGGUCGUCGGUUCAAAUCCGGUAGGGUCCA